CCUUCGUUGAGGUGAAAACGAAGUCCAUAGAAUCCAGGCUGCCUAGCAGCGUGAAUAAAAUCGCGCACGUAAGGCAGCAUGGGAAAACCCAGGCUAGCAUGGACGUGUAUUUCUUUGGAAAAUUAAAACCUUCAUUUACAAGAUUUUGGUUUUGGUAAGCGAUUAAUGUACCAAUUUAAACCCCCUCCCAAUUGUACAAUUGUGAAGGUCUGGGUGUUCCCAGGCUAACAUGAAAGGGCUAAAGUAAAGGGUUUGAGAAAACAUAUGCAUUUAAAAUGUUUGUCACUUUAUACUUUAAAGGUAUGUAUCAUUUAGGUGAAGGGAAAAUAUAUUUGUAUAAACAA